rnacentral:lncRNA from 7 species
GGAAUGUGGGAAGGGCAGCAAAAGAGGGUCAUAGACUGCUGGAGGCUGCAGAGGAUGCAGUGUCCCUGGACUCCAACCUGGAGGAGCAUGUUGUCGCUGACACAUUGGGCACCAUACUGAACUGGUGCUUCAAGCAGAGGCUGCUCAACAACAGCCUCCAAGUUCAUGCUGGAUAAGGCCAACCUCAUGAUUGACACGCAGGGCUUCUCCUCCCAGAGCAUCCACAUCCUGAGGUGGAUCACAGAAACCUGCUUUUGGCACAGGAAAAUGCAAAAGGAGGGAGUAAGAAAGAACUGGGAGCAGAAGCGUGCAGCCCUCUGCAAUCUCUAUGGCAGCAUUUCCAGGCCUUAAUCUUCUGCCAGGUACAGCUCAUUUGCAAGCAGUGAGCUGCCAGUGAUCCAUCUGACAUGAUCAAUCCCCAGUGUGACAUCAGCAGUGCUUCAAAGAUCACCAGAAAUGAGGGAACAGGUGCAAGGGAUGGAUGGGAACAGUCAGAAUUAAAAGCUCAAAGUGGUAACAGCAUCUAAUAGUUGGAACCAUGUUUGCUUAGCUUUCAUGGUGGGCAUUAUGUGGAAACCAUGCUCUGUUCCCCCAGCCUUUGUGUUUUGUGUCUAACAAAAGCAUUUUGUGACUUCUUUCUCUUCUUUUUCUUUUUUUUUGCCUUAUUUUGAGGCUCUGCCUAUUCCAAAGCACCACAGCUGUGGAGAAAGGAAUACAAAAAGGUAUCUCAGGGAAUCCAUACCUAGUGACACAAAGAGAAGUGUGGAAGAAUCAAAGUCAUGGCCUGAGAAAAUUAUCUGGUCAGCAAUAUAAAAAAUGGAGAGAGCAGACAGUGUUUGUCAAGACCAGAAAUGUAGAUUUGUCAGUAAUCAAGCUACAAGAUGCUUGAGAUUUGGAUAUCUUUGUGAUGAGAGGGAAGAGCAAGACGUGGAAGGAAGGAGAGCCACAUUUUAACCUUGAGUUGAUGGCUAGAUAGCUAUGAGGAAGGAUCCUGGAGCAAUAACUUGGUCUACGGGAGUGAAACCAGAAGUGUAACUGGAUGUGAGUUCUCCUCUUUUGCUGUUGGCUUGUCGUGUGUGAAGUCCACCUCAAGUUGGGCAGAGCCAUGGCAGCCCUCAGUCUUGUUCUCCCAAGGGAUUCUGUAGCUUGGAAAGGUGUUUGAUGCUGGAACCAUGAAAGUAGGUUUAUGCUCCCACCCUAGCCCAGGAGAACAGCUGGGCUGGGUACACUUCCCAGUUCUGAGGCACACAGUUGGGAGAGGGCAGACCACUGCCUCUGCCCAUUUCUGUCUCUGCUUAAUGGCAGCAUGUCUUCUUCUUUCUGUCAAGACCCUGCUCAAGAAGUAGACUGUAAUUGUAAGGAAUUACAGAUUUUAUUUUAGGCAGUCAGUCUUGGGGGUCACAGUGUGGUGCCUUGAAAGACAUGGGUCAGAUAGCAGUGUUGCAGAAAAGCAGAUUUAUCCAGACAGGAUGUAUCCUUGCCUCCAGCCAUGACACUUGGGAAGCCCUCACUGCAAGCCAGCCAGAGCUGACUUACGUGUGCUUGCUAAUUCAGAGGGAAAAAUGGUUUUCUGUUUGAAGUGGGUUUCAGUUAUUUUCUCAGGCUUUUGCUUUGAUGUUUAUCUGAUGCUUUCAAAAGUUAAUUUGCUUAUUUAUUAACAAGGCUGUCUUACUGCAAGCAAAGACCUCAUGGAGCUAAAUAUAUAUCUAGUUCUACAAAUUUUUAUUAGAAAAAAAAAUAUACUAAAACUUUGCAAGGAUUUUAGCAGUGCUAAAAAAAAAAGUGCUAUCUUCCAUGAUAAGCUGGCUUUAGCUACAGAAAUUACAGAGGCCAAAACUUAUUUCUACUGGUUCAUUUACAAUUCACACCAAUGUCAUAUGUUGUCCACAAUAAUAAAUUCCACUCAUGAUAUAAUUCUAGUUUCAGUUCCAUCUGAUAAAAACAGAAAUCUCCGCAGUGGUCUGUAGCAGCUGAGCAUUUGCAAGGUUGGGAUUGCUGUUCUUUGUACACUGCCUUCCUUCUCUAUGUGCUCAGUAUUGACUUUCUAAUCUUCAGUAUAUUACUAAAAAUGUUGAAAGCAUAUUUGCCCUUAAAGUGAGCAAGGUAGCAAGCUGAGGAGCAGACUUGGGUUCAGAUUUUCAUUUCAGUAAUUGAGACUCUUGUUUGCUUCUGUCAAUACGGUAAG